rnacentral:lncRNA from 1 species
GAGGAGAAAACAAGAAAAAGGGCUAGACUCCUUUGUGUUGAGUUGUGGCUUUGGGCCGAGGUUUAAACCUUCUCUCGUAGAAGGUAAGAGCUUUAAGUUUUGAAAAAAUGUCACCCCUCCCCUUUCAUCCUUUCGUGGGAAAAAAUGAACAGGCCGGGGGAAGGUAGACAGUAGGGAUAAGAGUAAAGAAUAUAUAUUGUAUAGGCAUGUAGCACGCUUUAGUACAUAGUACAGCGAGUUUGCCAUUGCGAGGCUCGCCUGGAGCUGUUCACUUUUUUCCUUGUGUGAACACGCGGUUUUUCUUUUGAACUUUGAGUCUCUUCAUCGAGAUGCGAGGCUAUGCAACUUGUUGUUGCACUGAUGCCUCGUAUAGGAAUUCACAGCUUCGCAACUUGUUGUUGCAUUGAGACUUGCAUCAAGGGGGAAACUUCACUUAUAUUAAGUAGUGAAAGUGUUACAUGGAUCUACCUCAUUAAAAACCUUGCCUCCAGAGUGGAGGCCCCUAGCUAGGAAAAGAGUACAGUCCAGACUCGAUAAUGCAAGACUUUAGAAAGGAAAAAGGUAAAAGCGUUACCUUCGGCGUUGUUUAUAACUUUACAAGCUGAGGGUAACGGUGAACACUAUUAUGGGUAAUACUUGCGCAAGCUAUCUAUGUUCCAGGAAUGCGGUAGCUCUGCGCUAAGCUGGUCUGCCUGACAGAACGACCCUGGCCUGUUACUCUUCGUG